rnacentral:rRNA from 1 species
GAUGAACGCUGGCGGCGUGCCUAAUACAUGCAAGUCGAGCGAACGGACGAGAAGCUUGAUUCGCUGAUGUUAGCGGCGGACGGGUGAGUAACACGUGGAUAACCUACCUAUAAGACUGGGAUAACUGCGGGAAACCGUAGCUAAUACCGGAUAAUAUUUUGAACCGCAUGGUUGAAAAGUGAAAGACGGUCUUGCUGUCACUUAUAGAUGGAUCCGCGCUGCAUUAGCUAGUUGGUAAGGUAACGGCUUACCAAGGCAACGAUGCCUAGCCGACCUGAGAGGGUGAUCCGGCACACUGGAACUGAGACACGGUCCAGACUCCUACGGGAGGCAACAGUAGGGAAUCUUGCGCAAUGGGCGAAAGUCUGACGGAGCAACGCCGCGUGAUUGAUGAAGGUCUUCGGAUCGUAGAACUCUGUUAUUAGGGAAGAACAUUUGUGUAAGUACCUAUGCACAUCUUGACGGUACCUAAUCAGAAAGCCACGGCUAACUACGUG